GUCUGGGUAGCUCAGUUGGUAGAGCAUCAGAUUUUUAAUCUGAAAGUUGAGGGUUCAAGUCCUUGUUCAGAUG